UCCCCUUUUGGGGCCUGUUGAGAUCCCCCCUGCCCCAGUUGAGAGGUGUUUACAGUGGGGAAACUCCACCAGAUGUCUGACACCAACUCAGGAAGUAGGAGCCUGAGUGAGUCCGUUCUCCCCCACAGGCCACAGCAAGUGGCUGAGAACUCACCCAAGGGCAGGAUGGCACCAUUGGUGGAUCGUCUUUCUUCCCUGAUGCUCUGGCCCUCUCUCUGGGCAGGCAGAGGGCAGGUGACAGCUAGUCCUGCUGCAUGCUCAUGCUUUCCUCUCCAUGCAGCGGGAGGACUUGCUUCUAAAGGCAGCCGUAAGCAUUUCCCUCCUGAGCAACCACACAUAUCGAAUAACAGCUGUUUGAGGAAACACCUAGAACACACCUAGAAGAGCAAAAGGAAGAAAGACUCUGAACACUUUUAAAGACAGAAGUCAAGGCAAAUUGAAAAGAUUCUGACUUAUUGGAAGCAUUCACUGCAUUUAGGAAUCCAGCAAGCACGUAUUUCUCCAUGGUUUGCACCCUGUGUGCCUUCCCCUGCAUUGGAUGAUAACCAUCUUCGACUUCUCAAAAAAUACUUGGCUGUGCAAGACACAUGGUGCCAGUGCUUCUGGGGAGGGCCUCAGGGAGCUUCCACUCACUGGAAGAGGAACAGAACCCUGCAUGUGUGGAGAUCACAUGAUGACAGAGGACACAAGAAAGGGCGGAAGUGCCAGGCUCUUUUUAACAACCAGCUUUUGUGGGAACUAGCAGCACAGACUCACCACCCUGUCAAGGAAAGACACUAAUCUAAUCCACACUAAUGAAGGAUCUGCACCCAUGACCCAAACACCUUCAAUUCAGCCCCACUUUCAACACUGAGGUCUGAAUUUCAGCAUGAGAUCUGGGGGGACAAACAUGAAAACUAUAGCACCUUUCAUGUCGUUACCAUAUUCUCAGUCUCUCUGCCCCAAAACCCUGCAAGCCUUUUCCCCCCUGCAACUUCAAUCCAACCAGCCACCAUAUUCUGUGUUGUUGUUUUUUAAAAAUUAAC